rnacentral:rRNA from 1 species
AAAUUGAAGAGUUUGAUCAUGGCUCAGAUUGAACGCUGGCGGCAGGCCUAACACAUGCAAGUCGAACGGUAACAGGAAGCAGCUUGCUGCUUCGCUGACGAGUGGCGGACGGGUGAGUAAUGUCUGGGAAACUGCCUGAUGGAGGGGGAUAACUACUGGAAACGGUGGCUAAUACCGCAUAACGUCGCAAGACCAAAGAGGGGGACCUUCGGGCCUCUUGCCAUCAGAUGUGCCCAGAUGGGAUUAGCUUGUUGGUGAGGUAACGGCUCACCAAGGCGACGAUCCCUAGCUGGUCUGAGAGGAUGACCAGCCACACUGGAACUGAGACACGGUCCAGACUCCUACGGGAGGCAGCAGUGGGGAAUAUUGCACAAUGGGCGCAAGCCUGAUGCAGCCAUGCCGCGUGUAUGAAGAAGGCCUUCGGGUUGUAAAGUACUUUCAGCGGGGAGGAAGGUGUUGUGGUUAAUAACCGCAGCAAUUGACGUUACCCGCAGAAGAAGCACCGGCUAACUCCGUGCCAGCAGCCGCGGUAAUACGGAGGGUGCAAGCGUUAAUCGGAAUUACUGGGCGUAAAGCGCACGCAGGCGGUCUGUCAAGUCGGAUGUGAAAUCCCCGGGCUCAACCUGGGAACUGCAUUCGAAACUGGCAGGCUUGAGUCUUGUAGAGGGGGGUAGAAUUCCAGGUGUAGCGGUGAAAUGCGUAGAGAUCUGGAGGAAUACCGGUGGCGAAGGCGGCCCCCUGGACAAAGACUGACGCUCAGGUGCGAAAGCGUGGGGAGCAAACAGGAUUAGAUACCCUGGUAGUCCACGCCGUAAACGAUGUCUACUUGGAGGUUGUGCCCUUGAGGCGUGGCUUCCGGAGCUAACGCGUUAAGUAGACCGCCUGGGGAGUACGGCCGCAAGGUUAAAACUCAAAUGAAUUGACGGGGGCCCGCACAAGCGGUGGAGCAUGUGGUUUAAUUCGAUGCAACGCGAAGAACCUUACCUGGUCUUGACAUCCACAGAACUUUCCAGAGAUGGAUUGGUGCCUUCGGGAACUGUGAGACAGGUGCUGCAUGGCUGUCGUCAGCUCGUGUUGUGAAAUGUUGGGUUAAGUCCCGCAACGAGCGCAACCCUUAUCCUUUGUUGCCAGCGGUUAGGCCGGGAACUCAAAGGAGACUGCCAGUGAUAAACUGGAGGAAGGUGGGGAUGACGUCAAGUCAUCAUGGCCCUUACGACCAGGGCUACACACGUGCUACAAUGGCGCAUACAAAGAGAAGCGACCUCGCGAGAGCAAGCGGACCUCAUAAAGUGCGUCGUAGUCCGGAUUGGGAGUCUGCAACUCGACUCCAUGAAGUCGGAAUCGCUAGUAAUCGUGGAUCAGAAUGCCACGGUGAAUACGUUCCCGGGCCUUGUACACACCGCCCGUCACACCAUGGGAGUGGGUUGCAAAAGAAGUAGGUAGCUUAACCUUCGGGAGGGCGCUUACCACUUUGUGAUUCAUGACUGGGGUGAAGUCGUAACAAGGUAACCGUAGGGAACCUGCGGUUGAUCACCUCCUUACCUUAAAGAAGC